AAGACUAUACUUUCAGGGAUCAUUUCUAUAGUUUGUAAUCUAGCAGUCUGACUUCUGAAUCCAUGUGGGUAAGCAAUACUGUGUACAGUGUGAAAAUUCACUGCUGAUCCAGAAUUGAUGUAUGGA
rnacentral:snoRNA from 1 species